rnacentral:rRNA from 1 species
AGUGAACGCUGGCGGUAGGCCUAACACAUGCAAGUCGAACGGCAGCACAGUAAGAGCUUGCUCUUACGGGUGGCGAGUGGCGGACGGGUGAGGAAUACAUCGGAAUCUACUUUUUCGUGGGGGAUAACGUAGGGAAACUUACGCUAAUACCGCAUACGACCUACGGGUGAAAGCAGGGGAUCUUCGGACCUUGCGCGAUUGAAUGAGCCGAUGUCGGAUUAGCUAGUUGGCGGGGUAAAGGCCCACCAAGGCGACGCUCCGUAGCUGGUCUGAGAGGAUGAUCAGCCACACUGGAACUGAGACACGAUCCAGACUCCGACGGGAGGCAGCAGUGGGGAAUAUUGGACAAUGGGCGCAAGCCUGAUCCAGCCAUACCGCGUGGGUGAAGAAGGCCUUCGGGUUGUAAAGCCCUUUUGUUGGGAAAGAAAAGCAGCAGGUUAAUACCCCGCUGUUCUGACGGUACCCAAAGAAUAAGCACCGGCUAACUUCGUG